rnacentral:rRNA from 1 species
AUGAAAGAAAAUCCAUCUAUCAGUGUGACCAUUCUCUUAGCAUAUUUUAUUCUAACCAUCGGAGGAAAAGAAGUAAAGUGUAUAACACAAGAAGAAAAUACUAGUGCGAUCCCACUGAAUCAAAAACUCAAUAGGACUAUUCUGGUUCAUGGAAGAGAUGUUUACGACUGCAUCGAUGUGAAUCUACAACCAGCCUUUAGCCAUCCACUACUGAAAGACCACAAGAUCCAGAUGGAACCAAGCUCUUUCCCACUAAGUACUUCUACCAAAUCUCCAUUGAUGGAUGCCAUCCCACAAGCCCAAUUGGCCCUGAUUGAGUGCCCUACAGGAACGAUUCCAAUAUUACGCAAAAAUAGAAAGGUCCACAUGCCAGUAGAAACUAUUGGUAAAGUGAUUAGCCAGGAUGAACAUGAGGUUGCAGGAAUAGAAUAUUUUGAUGUGCUAUAUGGGACGCGGGCUAAAAUAAAUGUUUAUAAUCCUAUGGUGAAGAAUAAUAGUAAGUAUCUAAGUGCAUCAUGCAUACAAAUUAGUAAGGUACAAAAAGUAGGUGUUGCAGAUGGGAUAGGGGCCGGUUCUUGGGUGUAUCCAAGCUACAGUGGCGACAACUUUGCUAGGUUUCAUGUUGCUUGGCUUGAUGGCUUAAAGACUUGCCCUGAUCAUGAUUGUGGCGCUUUUGUGCAAGUAAGCUCAAGUGUUGGUCUAGGAGGAAGACUUAAACCAGUUUCUGUCUAUAAUGGACCACAAUACCUCAUAGAUGUUAUUAUUUUCAAGGACCCAAAGACUAAAAAUUGGUGGGUGGCUUAUGGUCCACAAAACAUACAUAUUGGAUACUGGCCAAGGGAAAUUUUCCAUUUCAUGAAGGAUCAAAAUUAUGCAUUAUGGGGUGGAUAUGUUCAAGGUCCAACAGCCUCAUCAGACUCUCCACAAAUGGGUAGUGGUCAUUUUGCUUUAGAAGGAUUUGGAAAAGCAGCAUUUGUGAGUAAUAUCCAAAUUGUAGAUAAUGAGGGCAAGUAUGUUACUCCAAAUGACAAGCAAACUGGUCUUGUCGCCACCAAUUUAUCAAAAUAUACUGCGAAGGCUCAUGGUUAUGGAUAUAGUCACUAUGGUGUGCAUACUUACUAUGGUGGACCUGGUGGUUUUGUUUGA